rnacentral:rRNA from 1 species
UAGGUAACCUGCGGAAGGAUCAUU